GUCCUACGGGGCGCAGCAGUGGGGAAUAUUGCACAAUGGGGGAAACCCUGAUGCAGCAACGCCGCGUGAGUGAAGAAGUAUUUCGGUAUGUAAAGCUCUAUCAGCAGGGAAGAAGAUGACGGUACCUGAUUAAGAAGCCCCGGCUAACUACGUGCCAGCAGCCGCGGUAAUACGUAUGGGGCAAGCGUUAUCCGGAUUUACUGGGUGUAAAGGGAGCGCAGGCGGCUUGGCAAGUCUGAUGUGAAAGGCUGGGGCUCAACCCCAGGACUGCAUUGGAAACUGUUAGGCUGGAGUGUCGGAGAGGG
rnacentral:rRNA from 1 species